AACCAUCAAACGAACAACUAC
rnacentral:misc_RNA from 1 species